CGGGGAGCGAGGACGAGUCUGCUCGGUCUUAGAAGAAUGUCGUUCGACGCUUUCAAGAUUCGAGUCAUUUAAGUGGUCCUGAUCACCGGCAGGCUGGACACAACGCCAAAGUAGAAUACGUGCUCAUGGACACAACGACUGAGAGACGGAGACAACGAACUUUGCGCCGCAUGCACGAACGUUGAUGCGUGAAUUAGAGAAACCUAGAUUGCACUUUACACCUGGAUUACACAAAAGCAAGUUACGUCCAGGCGAUGUCGUAAAUGGGGGGCAAUCAUCUUCUGUGGUUGGUGUUACGUUCUGCGGAAGAAACGGAAGUUGGGGAAGAACAGCGAUCCAAAGGUGUGGAAGAGAUAAAGAAGCGUGACCACAGAUCAGCUGCAAUGGUGAAGGAGAGAUGCAGUGGUCAGCGUUCAUCCAUGUACG